UAGCGAAGGGGGCUAGCGUUGCUCGGAAUCACUGGGCGUAAAGGGUGCGUAGGCGGGUCUUUAAGUCAGGGGUGAAAUCCUGGAGCUCAACUCCAGAACUGCCUUUGAUACUGAGGAUCUUGAGUUCGGGAGAGGUGAGUGGAACUGCGAGUGUAGAGGUGAAAUUCGUAGAUAUUCGCAAGAACACCAGUGGCGAAGGCGGCUCACUGGCCCGAUACUGACGCUGAGGCACGAAAGCGUGGGGGAGCAAACAGG
rnacentral:rRNA from 1 species